rnacentral:lncRNA from 1 species
CCUUUUUUCCCCUCCUUCCCCUAUACUGCCUCUUUCCCCUCCCCUCUCCCCACUGGUAACUAGUUUGUUCUAUCUGCUCAGGAGACAGCCCGCGGCUUAGAGACAGACUGCUUUGAGGACAUUGGAACCGCCGAGGUGCUGAGUAACCCUACUGAGAAAGAAAAAAGAGGAGGCGCUUC